UUGGUUGGUUGUUGGAUAAAUAUAAUUUUUUUUUUCUUUCACGACCUCCUCUCUCCUUUCUCUCUCGAUCUUAACGGUGAUGGAUUCGCCGAUUCAACUCCGGAAAAAUUUCCGAUGAUGGUAACGUUGACGUUGUCUCCGUUGAAGAUGGUGUUGUUUCUCUCAAACUCCAAGAUUUAUUGAAUUUAUAUGCUCUAUAGUACUCUGGAGUCGAGUUUUUGAUAAAGAAGUAAAGCAGAUGACCGUUGAGGUGAGUGAGGCUCCUUUUAAGAGUGGCAAUGGUGAAGCCAAUCCAAAGAGAGUGGCAACGGUUUACAUACUGCAUGAUGGGGAUUGCGUUUGACUGUUAUUGAUACUUCUCUAUCCCCUGAUCAACGAAAUAUGAUUUUAUCUGGAAGCGAUGAUAAUAUCUGCAAGGUGAUUGUUUUUGUUGCUGCGUUGAUUCAUUGGGAGAGAUAAGCUCUGGUUUAUUGCUGGUUUUGUCUCUGCAGAAUCAAGAAGAAAAAGCCUGUGGCAAUUGCGAUCAAUAUGGCCAUUGCGCUCAAUAUGGCCAUUGCGCUCAUUUGAAUCAAGCAUUGCUCUGUUUACUCUCUCUACAAAAACGUUCACAGCAAGCGAAAUAGUGAAAGCUACUAAUAACUUUGAUGAAUCGAGGGUUCUUGGUGAAGGUGGAUUCAGACGGGUUUACGAAGGUGUUUUCGAUGAUGGAACUAAAGUAGCAGUUAAAGUAUUGAAGAGAGAUGACCAUCAAGGUAGCCAAGAGUUCUUGGCUGAAGUUGAAAUGCUUAGCCGUCUUCAUCACAGAAACCUUGUGAAUUUAAUCGGUAUUUGUUCUGAAGAUCGUAACCGUUCCCUGGUUUAUGAACUCAUACCAAAUGGCAGCGUUGAAUCUCACCUCCACAGGAUCGAUAAAGAAUCUUCGCCGUUAGAUUGGGAUGCUCGGUUGAAGAUAGCUCUUGGUGCUGCCCGUGGUUUAGCGUAUUUACACGAAGACUCUAGCCCCCGAGUUAUACACUGAGACUUCAAGUCCAGCAACAUCUUGCUUGAACAAAAUAUAGAUGUUAUCAGCUUCCUGCUAGUUCCAAUUCUAACAUGACUAGUAAUCAUGGUGUUGCGAGGAACUACUGAAGUCUAUUGGUAGAGAGAAGUAGCUCAAUCGUGGACGCCAAGCCUCCAUUGAUGUUUUCGAACUAGUCAGGCAAGUCAGACCACAUCAAACCAACAAAAACUUUUGAAAAUGAUGGAGAUAUUAUUAAGGAUGAUGCUGAGUCGUGGAGUAUGGAUUCGUCAGCUCCACACCUUCUUUCUCAUUCAUUCUUAAUCCUAUUUUCCUGCAUCUCUUGCUUUAUCAAUGUCUGGUCUAUAUAUGUGUUUUGCUUGUUUUUGAUUCAGAUUCUGCCAAAAAAAAUAGCUUCUUUGAUCAUUAUACAACAUUUAACUUUUUUCCUCUUCUUUCUUUCUUUCUUUUGAUUUUGUAGUUUAAGAAACAUUGAUGGGAUUUCUCGAGUGGAAGGUUGUUUUAUUUAAAGUUUUUAGUGACU